GCCUCUGCGGGCUGGGCGGGCGGCCGGGAGGGGGGCUGCUCGGCCUGCGGCCCGCCGGAUGGCUGUAGGGCUCGGGCGGUAGCGGGGGAGGGAGGUGUGAGGAGCCCUGGGUGAAGCGCUGGCACGACGGCUUCUGCUAACAGCACUGUGGGUACACCGUGUUACUCUUGUGUGACCUUCCCAAGCCCCUCCAUGUCUUCUACCUACCUCUUUGGCCGUUGGAUUUAAUGUAAAUGGGAAAUGGGCGAGUUUUUUUUUUGCGGAAGAGCAAAGGCAGCAGGCCUCCUGCUUGUGUGCAGAGAGCAAAGCGUGCUGCUAGCCUCCAUGGGGGCUUGGAGGGGCUCCGAUCUAGGCAGAAGGUUGUUUGUUUUUAACACUCUUUAAGUAAAAUGAGAUUAUUUGGGGGUGCCCUUGCUGGUAUUUCCAAGGGCCUUAGUCUGAUUAUAGAGAGAAAAAGGCUGCAAAAUGCACAAAAUCAGCAAUGGAAAUGGGGUCGGUUUGUUUGGCUAAAUGGAUCCAGUUCUAGUAAUCUGAAGUGUUUAGUUGUUGCAGAAGGCAGUUUCUGAAGCUGUGGCUUGCAAGUUGAUCUUAUCCUUUAAAUACCUCUCAAACAGUUGUCCAAGGAUUAUUUUUAUCUAUGAAUUUCUUUACUGCAGUGUUUGCUUUUGUUUCUUUUUAAAUAGUAUUUUAAAACUAGAGAUAGAAGGCAAAUAUGUUUUGUUUUGAAGGUUAGAUAUUAUUAAAACUGUCCUGAAAGUGUAAAAUAGUAUUUAUUACAUAGGAAUCAGAACUGGAGCUGGUGAUAACCUCUCUUUUAGCUUGCCUCACAUGCCUUUUAGAACUAAGGUAAUGCUUGAAGCCCAUCACCUCUUUGAAAAUUAGGCUGAAUGUACAUCCAGAGGAGUUAAGAACUCUAUGGAAGUGUUAAAUUUAGUGCUUUGUGGAACCAGGAUGCUGUGGAACUUGUGCACCUCAUUCAAACUCCACUGAAUUCUGUUGAAAUCUAAUGCAUGCUGAUGAGACCCUAAAAUGGAAACUCAGACCCACAUCAUCAGUUGCCCAGAUCCUAUUCCUGCCUCAGACUUAAUCUUUGGAUACGAUGGGACUCCAAUGCCUGUACUGGGCUCUGCUUCUCUGUAAGAUCAGUAACUAGCCUUCAUCACCAGGAGAUGCAGUUUCCUUGCUGUCGUUAAUGUCAAAGGGCACGCUCAACGGAGACGUGCUGUGCUUUGGUGGCUCUUUGUUCUGAAUGGCCUGUGACCACAGAGACAGACCUGGAGCAGCUGUGGGGCUGCCUGAAUUUGCAGAAGGGAUCAGGGAGAUGGUGGUCAGAACAAUAACUAAUGGAUUUUUGAACAAAAGACUGCAUUAAUGAAAGCCCAUGAAAAGGUUGUAUAUAUUUUGUAGGAUUAGAUUUUGCCCUAUACCAGGAACAAAACUGUUAUAAAUUUAAAGUGCAUAUAUAUGUAUAUACACUCUUUAUAUACACAAAUUUAUAAUAGAAAUAUAAAAUGGAAAAUUUGAACAUUUUAGCACUGUAUUUGUAAGGUAGUUAUUAAGGCAAAUCAGCCUGCAUUUUCCUCCUCAUUUCUUCUAUCCAUCUUUUAAAUGUAUCUUCAUUGCCUUCAGUGGAAAGUUUCCAGUUUUCACCAGUGUAAGUGAAAGGAGAGCAAGACACAAUAUCCUUUGAAAAUACCCUUCAGCACUGUACGAAAAGCCUUGAAUUAACUUUUGAGGAAAACAGCAUAGAGUCACUAAAUAGUGAUUUUUUUACACAGCUUUGUGGUUAAAUCUUGUUUUAUAUUUACAUGCACUGUGGAAUAACUAAUACGGAUGUCUUCCUGACACUGAAUCUUGCAUUUGUAGGGAAAGACAAACAUGUGGUUGAAAACUGAGCUAGGCUGUAGCCUUUCAAAAUAAAGAAGUUUAAAAGAUAGUUGCAAAAUAAACUGCCGUAGUUUACAAAAUAGACAACCAAGCAGGUCCUAGGAACAGACGGGAUGUUGAUCUCUUAGUUAAUAGGGAAGAGCUGGUAUGGAAAUAAGUGCAUAUUUUAGGGCUGAUUUUGCUUUACAUGAAAUGGUAGUAAAGCUUCAGUGAAUUAAAGGAGGUUUUUUCUCUUUGUAUUUUUAGUUUAUCCAUAUUUCAUAUUAACAAUAGAAAUAUAUUAUAACUUCAUUUAAUGUGCUUAUGCCUGACAAUGAGAAAAAUAAGAAGAAAAAAUACCAAUAAAGCCUAUAAAUACAAAUUUAAUUGUAUAAAUUACUUAAUGUGUCAUCUCUCCCUUUUGCAAUAUUAAACAAGCGUAAAAUAUUCUGUACUGGUACAAAAUACUUUUUUACCCCAUAUACAGUGCAAUGUAGAGUAAUUUGCUAGGAAUUUCUUGAAAUUAUUCAGGAGUUUGUUACAGUAAUUACUGUUUCUGAGCCUUUAAAAUCGACACAGUAAAAUGCUGACAAAAUUACAGUUUUCAGAAGUAAAGGCUCUAAAGCACAGGCUAUGGGUUUUUCUUGGUUAGUGUAGCACAUACAAUGUCUACAUAGCUCUAGGAACUGCCCUUACUAUUUACUGUCUUCUAAUUUAGCAGUUCAUGGUUUUAAUGGCUGUUUAGGGGGUUCGUUUCUGCAUUACAAAUGUUAUGCAUGAAAGAGCAGUUUUUUACAGGCAUUGUUUAAUUUGGUGGCAGCCUCAGAUUUAUUUUUUUGUUAUAUUCUUUUUUUGUUUUUAUUUUAAGUUUCCUACUUAAUCCAAGUAAACAAUGUGAUUAUUUAGAGGUUUACUUUAUACUGUGUCUAGUAAUGCUUUAUUUUACUAGUCUUUUAUUCUAACGUACAGUAAGAUAUCCUUAUGGCAAGCAAAGUGUGAUAAUUUUCAUACAGCACAUUCUGCUGUUCUUUUUCUGUCUCCCAAAAUGAAGAAAAUGGCCAUAGGUUAAGGCUUGAAGUAUCUCUACUGAGAUUGGAGUUCGCUGUCAACUUUGCUGGUCCAACACCAAGCAUCCUAGCUGAAAAAAACCCACAAAUCAGGAAUGUUUAAAAGGGCCUCGGAUAUUAUUAUCCAAUCUAAUCUUAGUCUGUCCUUUGCUGAUAAAUCAUUAUUUUGACAUAUGAGGGAAUAUCCACUACAGAAAUAGUAUAACUGUAUGUUGACGUACGAUUCCUUUCUUUCCCCCUUAGUGUCUUCUAUGAUAUUCGUGUGAAUUGUGAAUGUGGAAUCGGUUUAUUCAAAAAGAUUCAUAUGGUCAAGUUUUAUGUCUGUUUACUUGCUUAUAUAAACGUUUCCAAUUUAACACAACAAUUUGUAAUGAAUACUGUGAAACAAAUUUAAAAGAAUGAGUUCUUGAAAUAGAAAUAAUAAUAAAAAUGCUUUUCUCCCCUUGAAAAUAUUUAUUUUAACAUGUGGUCACAUUUUCCUACAUUUUCACAUUAAUUGAAAUCUUUUUGUUCUAGGAGAAUAAAUCUUCCCUUCAUAUAGUUUCCCAGUUCUUACGCAAAUUAAAGCACAUGCAGGCAUAAUUUGUGGUUUUAAAGCAAGUAAAAUUUUGUAAAUUCAUGAUAUCAUUAAAAAGCAUUUUGUCAAACAGUACUAUUACACAGACCAUUUUGUAAUUUACCUUUUCACUUUAGUGAAGGAUGACUUUUUGUGAUAAUCUUUUGAUUUCUUAGUUUUAUAGAAGGUUCUAAGUAUUCCUAAAUUUAGUGCUGCUCAGUUACAAAGUAAUCUUAUGUUGAUGUUCAGAAGUAGUUUAUAAGACACUGGAAUGUCAGCUCCAGAUACUGGGAACAGUCUGCAAACAACAAUACUUUCUUAUUUAUUUGGGAAGGAUAGCUCCUUUAUUUUAAAGGAGGCAGAUUGGGGAGAAAGGGCAGAGCACCAGUACUGUAGCUCCUGGGUUCCUGUAUGGAGCGUUAUGUUUUUUCCAUUUAGAAACAGUUUGAAACAAAUAGAUUAUAAAUAUCCAGCUACUUUCAAUAAACUUUUCUUGGCAACAGAAUCUAAAAUCAAGCACCAUAUCAAACAAAAUGUGAAGCAUGCUGCAGAGCUUAUCUGCUUUCUCCUGAAGAGAGCCACAAGCCUAGAGCUAGCUGAAUCACCCUCUGCUGCAGCAAGCAGAAUGACUCUAAAGAUUUUUAAAUCAUUUUUAAUCGUUUUCUCUAUUAAAACUCACCAGUGCCGCCCUUCUGCUUCUCCAGGAAGUUGUACCCGUCAGCACCUGCUGAGGGCUUUGCUGAUCAAACCCGGCAGGUAAAAAAAUUCCUGUAGAAUAAAGCCAGACCAGCUGGCUUUGAAGAGAAACCCCCCAGUUUGGGUUGUGUUUGCCUCACUCACCCUCUCCUCAGCAGCCCUGGGCUUUUUCUCCUUUGGUUGUUGACCUGUAGGGUGGGUGAUGCGGGCGCACAAGUGUCUGGCAGGCCAAGGUGCACCUGCUUCUGUCACUCGCAAGUAAAUUUAGCUGUAAAAGGUAUCACUGACAAGCAGACCUUUGUCAGCGCUGGCAAAUGAACACAGCAUUGCUGUCCCCCUUCAAAGUACGCUACAAGUUCAAAUGGAAAAUAUCAAAUCAGUCAUCUUAUCCAGGAAUUGCUUCUUUGAGAAGAAAAAAGGCUAAAUUGCUUUCACAUGGCACAAAACUUUCCUCCUUUACAUAGAUGUUAAAAUUACAUUCCAAGAAUAAUCUCUGAACAAGACGGGGUUUUGUUCUUUUAAUUGUGGCUGGAAGGAAACUUUUUUAAUGGAAAUACAGCAUACACAUAUUUCAAUUCAGGUUAUUAAACUGUGUUAAGUAUUAAAGUUGAUUGCCUUUCUUUUCACUAACUCAUUGUGCUUUUUUAUCCAAAGAAAUAUUAGAAGACUAAAACCUCUGAAAUAGGAGGUAUUAAUCUCAUUCCCAAAAUUAGAAAGCAUGCAGUGUUGAGAGACUGGAUGUCAAAAUUACACGUUCGUAGCACUUAUGCGAUGGGAAUCUAGGAACCAACCACUUUUAAAAAUGGGAACUAAAGUAGAUGGAGAGUCUUCUGAGAGUAAAGCCACCUAAACUUGGUCUUCUUGUCCUUAUUGGAUUAAGGGGCACCGUUUCAGAUAAAAACAUGGACCUGAUUGGCAUCAUCUCGUAUCCAUGGAAACGUUUUAAGUACCUCUCUCUCAAUAUGUACUUCUCUUAUUCAGGGUUUAAAAGCUGAAUACUGAAUAAUUGAGAAUUAGCAAAAGAAACCUGGAAACAUUAAUUCUUCCCUUUCACAAGAAUAUAGUUUCUUCCUUCAUACCAAACACUUGUUAAUAUAAAGAAUUGAUCUGAAGAGUUCAGCUGAGGCUUGCGAUGACUGAUUCCAAAAGAAGCUUUUCUCACGUGCUCAUGGAAAAGACUGUUAUUGUUUUUAUCUCAUUACAUCUCCAACUCUGAAUAGCUCUGCAAUUUCACAGGAGCAAUCUUAACAGUUAAUAACAUUAGCAGAGUUCUCUGGAAUACUCCUAUUUGCAUCUUGUGAGAAGAAAAAGAAGUGAGGAAGAAAUAAAGCAGAUGCUUCAGGAAUGUUUCAUUGAAUGUACGGAAAAGCAGCAAGUAAUGGCAACAUUUUCUACUGACAGAGACUUGGGGUGGUCAGUGAUGUACCUUACCGGAAUCUUCAGUAGCCUUCAUCAUGGUGUUACCUGUGAAUAUGGAUUCACUGCAUCUGAAUCCAGCAAAUUAUAAAUCUUAAGAAAAACACGAGAUUUUGUGACCUAGGGCAGCAGCACAGAGAGUUGAACUCAGGAGCUUUUGACAAGGACCCAGAGUCUGAGCAACAGUAGACAUCUAGAACAGAGGACACCUUGUAUUUGGCUCUCUGGGCUUUUUGCAGACGUGGGCACCACCAGUGCCAGCAGCAAAGGAUGGUGCCUCAUGCAGUUCACAAGAAGAAAGUGAGGUGUUGGUGCCAUGGAUCCACCCACUGAGAAGAGUCCCACCAGUGCAAGAGGACUGUAGUAUAGGCAGAAGUACCAGCUUGGCCACAGCUUCCACUGAAUGUUUUUUAUCCUCUGAGAGCUCUGUAAGAUUGGCAUUAUCCUGUAGCAGUGUCACAGCCUGCAGUCAUUUAAUGCCUCUUCUUGUGAGGCCGGGAUUCCACGCCCAAGUGCAUUUAGUAGAGCCACUGAGGCUGACACAUAGUUUCCAAGAACUUCUGCAUGUCUUGUGUCUCCUGAAUCCCAAAUAUUUCUCAAGUGCCUAGCAGAAGAAUAUCUGGAUAAUCUUAGGCUGGUAAUACAACCUCAGAGAAGAAAGUCAGACAGCUCUGAAAAUACAGUGUAAAUUAUUUCAUUUUGUGUUAACUUGGUGUCUUUCUUACGUGUAUACUGCCAUUGUUACACUUAGAGCAUUCUCUAGAUCUGAAGAUGCUAUGAAAUUUCAGUAAUUCUAGCACUAAUAACAGCUUUUGCUGGUCACACUGUAAAUGAUAUUGCAUGAUGAUUCAUUUGAAAAUGUAAUAAUGUAGCUUGAAAAAUAAAAGAUGAGCAAUAAACUGAAACAAAAGAGCUUGUUGCCUUUCCCCAAAUAACACUUCUUCAUUCCUGACCUAGGUUUACCUUCUUUCCCCUUCUUUAAGGAUCCUUUACAUUAUGUACUAAAAAUAAAAGUAUUCAAGGUUCAAACUUUAAGUCCCAAAUUACUGCCUUUCAGAUUCUUUAUUAUCCUUUCAAGCAUCUAAAAAAAAUAGGUCAAAGCAACUCUGCAUAAUUUGGAAAGUUAACAAAAUGUUGUUUACAGAACUAAAAAAUAAGUAGAUAUAAUUACAAUAACCUUUAAAUGUAUUGUUUCCCUUCCACUGUCAAUUAAACCCUUUAAAGAACUGAAAUUUUUUUUCCUUCUCUCAGUAAGACAGAGAUAAAAAUAGCUUCAAGUCACAUGGCAUAAAGUCCACCUGGAUAUCUGGCUUCUUUUCAACAGUAUGAGCUCUGGCUCACAACCUAGGUUUGUUCUCUCACAAAAAUCAUGUCUAGAUACCACAGGAAAAGUGAGCACUGAAGACUGACACACAGCAAAUGUGGAUACAGACAUGUUUCGAUAAAUAAGGCCUUGCUCCAGUAGCAGCUUUGUUCAGCCAUGGCUUUCCCCUCAGUUCUUGGCUUUACCACAGUCAGUUUUAAAGUGUUUUUUUUGCUCUUCAAUUUCACUGUUAUCAUGGCCCUUAGCUUUCUCGAUAUUCAAGGUCAAGCAGCUAGCAGACAUAACACUGAUAGCAUUUGAUAAUGAAGAAACAACGUGAAAAGAAAAAAAGGAAAUAUUUGUUUGCUGGACAUAGCUGAAUACAGUGGAGAGAAAAAACAUUCAAGAAUUUCUGUCCACAAGUGAUAACUGAAAGAGUCAAGUUUCUCUUUGAUUUUCUACUUUCUGUGUGCUGGAUAAAUUGCGUUUCCAGAUUUCAGAACAAAUCUCUUAAUGUAUUUUGGGCUGGAAUCCGUACCCUACAAAGCAGAGUAAAGGAAAGCUCUCUGGAUAGUGUCUGCAUAAGGCUUGCAGGGAUGUUCCCUCCUUUGCAGCUCAUUUCCAGCAGUGGAAGCCACAAGGUAAGAGAGCUCUUGGUAAGAGAGCAAAGCCAAAACUGUUCCUUACAUUUUAACCCAAUGGCUUCAAAUGGCUUCUCACCUGAAGAAGUUUUGAGUCUAAGAUUGCCAUUUAAGUUCCUUUUAUAGUUAGUGACAGGAUAUGGACAUCUCAUCACAAUACCUAUUUAAAAUGAAUGAGCCCUACCCUACCAGUGCCCACCAGUCUGUCCAGGAAGUCUAGAACCUCAUCUUGCCAUGAUGAGGUUCCCAACAUUCACAUAGUUGAAGCCAGGUGCCAUCUGAAGUUUUUGUUAGCACUAUCAAAGAUUUUCACUGAAAGUUUGUGUGUCAGUUUGAGCAUGCUCACUUACACCAAAUCUUUUCUGGCAGUGGGAAGCAGUGUGACAAAAUGCUUUGUAGAAAAUGUCUUAGGAGCUAUAACAAAGUAAUGUCUUAAUUCUAGUCACAUCAAAGUAGGUUGUGAGGGAUAUUCAAAGCAGCUGUGUUUGUAUUAGGCAAGUGAAGGAGUCUUGCCUAUCUUUCAAGAUCUCAGAUUCUGAAAUGAAUCCAUCAGUGUUUGAUUUAGUUGAGUCAUGUCUUAAAUUGUGCAACAUACUACAAGCAGGAGCCAGACAAGAAUGAUCCAAGCACUGACCAGGAUGAUUUCUUUUUGCUGACAGUUCACCCAUUAACUGGACAGUGUUCCUGUCAUGCUGUGGGUUUGCUAUGGAUAUGCUGUCUGUGCACCCUCUCUCCUAUGGCUUUAGGACAUCUAUAAUUAAGCCUAUAAUGCAUUUCUACAGAUGGUGCACUUUUCCAUCAAUGUUGCCCUUACUUUAAGGCUUAAUCAUAAGUACAGAGCUAUACAAUGUAUUUUGAAGCACAUUUUAGUAUUUUCUUCACAAAGAUAUACUACGCAAUACAGACUCUGUAAGUGAUUGAAAUUAAUCAACUAUUCUGUCCCUUCUACCCACCCUGAGCACAAACACACGCAGAGAUACAGCUAAUGUAGAGGUAAACACAACCUGAUUUUCUACAGCAUGACUGUCUUUCAAACAACAAACCUCUGUUCUUUUCUUGCAUGUGGGCUGUCUGUUGGAUAUUCUACACAAUUUAAUCUAUACAUGUUUGUAAAUCUUUUUCCAGUACAUGUUGUUUACACGCCGUGGUACUCAUCCAAGAAAAACAAGGCUGGAAUAAGUACCUGGUAUGGGCGAGUUUCACCAGUACAUAUAUAUUUGAACACGAUAAUCUUAAUAUUGAUUGGUUUAAUUUUUUUUUUUU